rnacentral:misc_RNA from 1 species
AUCCAAGGCAGUUCUUUGCGACAUGGUCAGCACGCAUAAUUCUAAUACAAACCACAGAUACAGCUUGUUCAUCGUAAGUUUUCUUGCACAAUCAAAUGGUCACUUUUACGUUUUCACAGUAAUAUUUUAUUUUUAUUGAUUAUAAUGACAAGAAAAUAUAAAUUCUUGUGAUGACCGCUAACUGUUACGCGUAUUAUCGAGGGCCUUUGAUAGCAACGCAUCCGGUCUUAACUGCUGCUAUUUAGCGAUCGUUUGGCACACUGUUCGUACUCGGAAAAGAUUUGAAACUGCUGUGAUACAUGAUCAUAAUAAGAGACAAAAUAUAUACUUUGAUUCAGAUACUCCCAUCUCUAUUAUCAUUCUUUACAUAUCUAUUUGCAUUUACGUGGUCAACAAGGUCAAGAAAACUAAUGAAUACGAAUAGGCAACGCUUGCGCAAUAUGAUUUACAUAUUGUAUAAGGUGUAUAUACUACCGUUAUUUCUAAUUGUACUUUAAACAUACUAUAGAAAUUGUAUGACAAAAAAAAUAUAUGAAAAAAAAUUGUUUCCAAAGAAAAAUAUUACCGACUUUCAAACGCGUUAAAUAUUGAAAAAUUACUUUUAUUGUAUUUAUACAAAUUAAGUGCGCUAAAAAAUAUGAAAAUUUCUGUUUUUAUAGCGACUUCAAAAAAAAAAAAAAAAAAAAGAAAGCAUCUCCGUAGUUUCGACCAAUCGCGGGGCGACGGAAUCGCGAGGAAACACGUCAACGGGAGUCUUAAAUUCCCGUUACGAUUAUAAUAAUCGACGCCGCGAAUAGAUCGAUCCCCUGAUUUCCGUUGAGAUAAUAGGAAUGGUUGAGGUGGUAUAAUGCUGCGAUUAACAGAGUUAUAAUCUAUUUAUUUCCCACAACGUUACACUGAUGAGUUUACGCCGUUGCUUAUGAUAUAGGUAACGAAGAAAUGGAUUGCUCUUAUAUGAGAGAAUCCGGGUAGAGGUGUUGACUGAUCUGAAGACCGAGAUUGAAUACGGGUAGAUAGGUGACACCUUCGAAGACCUUCGAAAAAGUCUUGAGGUGUUUAGAGUAUUCGAACUGAGAUAGAACUGCUUGAAUGUUCAGUUGAUAUAGACUCCCGAUGAUAGACUGUUCUGUUAUUCCAAGAAAAAGUCUAGUGUAGUAGUAAAGGUUCAGUUGACGUGGAAUUUGCAGUUGACUCCUGAUGUCGUGGAAGAAAUAUAGAUGACGUGACUGCUCUGUAGUUAUGAGAAGCAGUUGACUGUUCUAUAGGUUCCAGAACAAGUGUGUAGUAUGAAAGGAGAGACGUUUAGCACUCCCCUAGACAAGGAUGGAACACAUAUAAAUGGUAAGGCACUGUCGCCUUUCGACAGCACUUACCAGAUUUUUUUGUCAACGCCCGUUGGCUGUGAUAGAUACACCCAGUUGACCGUGAACCUCCGAGUAGGUCGGACCUCUCGGCCCUAACAGUGAGCGCGGCAAGCUAUACAGUGUACAGUAUAC